rnacentral:rRNA from 1 species
UACGUAGGGUGCGAGCGUUGUCCGGAAUUAUUGGGCGUAAAGAGCUCGUAGGCGGUGUGUCGCGUCGGCCGUGAAAACCUGCAGCUUAACUGUGGGCUUGCGGUCGAUACGGGCAUCACUGGAGUUCGGCAGGGGAGACUGGAAUUCCUGGUGUAGCGGUGAAAUGCGCAGAUAUCAGGAGGAACACCGGUGGCGAAGGCGGGUCUCUGGGCCGAUACUGACGCUGAGGAGCUGAAAGCGUGGGGAGCGAACAGG